rnacentral:Y_RNA from 1 species
AGUUGUUUCAAAGGUUGGGGGUUACUGUUAAGCUAUUUAACAUUGUCUUCCCCCACCCAUACUUGACUAGCUAGAC